rnacentral:rRNA from 1 species
GUAAGGGAAUCUUCCACAAUGGACGAAAGUCUGAUGGAGCAACGCCGCGUGAGUGAAGAAGGGUUUCGGCUCGUAAAACUCUGUUGUUAAAGAAGAACAUAUCUGAGAGUAACUGUUCAGGUAUUGACGGUAUUUAACCAGAAAGCCACGGCUAACUACGUGCCAG